GACAGAGGGUGCAAACGUUGUUCGGAAUUACUGGGCGUAAAGGGCGUGCAGGCGGUCUGUUAAGUUCAGGGUGAAAGCUCCCGGCUCAACUGGGAGAGGUCCUUGGAUACUGGCAGACUUGAGGAGGGUAGAGGAGAGUGGAAUUCCCGGUGUAGUGGUGAUAUGCGUAGAUAUCAAGAGGAACACCUGAGGUGAAGACGGGUUGCUGGGCCGACACUGACGCUGAGUGCGCGAAAGCCAGGGGAGCAAACGGG
rnacentral:rRNA from 1 species